rnacentral:rRNA from 1 species
GACGAACGCUGGCGGCGUGCUUAACACAUGCAAGUCGAACGGUAAGGCCCUUCGGGGUACACGAGUGGCGAACGGGUGAGUAACACGUGGGUGAUCUGCCCUGCACUUCGGGAUAAGCCUGGGAAACUGGGUCUAAUACCGGAUAGGACCACUGCCUGCAUGGGUGGUGGUGGAAAGCUUUUGCGGUGUGGGAUGGGCCCGCGGCCUAUCAGCUUGUUGGUGGGGUGAUGGCCUACCAAGGCGACGACGGGUAGCCGGCCUGAGAGGGUGACCGGCCACACUGGGACUGAGAUGCGGCCCAGAAUCCUACGGGAGGCAGCAGUGGGGAAUAUUGCACAAUGGGCGCAAGCCUGAUGCAGCGACGCCGCGUGAGGGAUGACGGCCUUCGGGUUGUAAACCUCUUUCAGCACCGACGAAGCGCAAGUGACGGUAGGUGCAGAAGAAGGACCGGCCAACUACGUGCCAGCAGCCGCAGUAA